AUUGGAAGUGGCUGCCCAAGCUCUCUGCCCUCUUCUCUUAGAUAGUCAGAUAGACACGAGGCUCCUGAUGCUACUCAGGUGGGUCUGUCGGCCCUCUUCAUGUACCCCCACUCUGGUGCCUCUCACCAAGUUCCUGAAAAGGCAGGACUAUCUGCUGAGGAUGUUACCUCAGACUAGUUUACAAAGGCUUUGUAAUUACAGCAUCCAUCCUCUUGAGCAUGUCAGUCUCUUCCUAAGUCCCACUGAACCUAAAGGAUUAUUGCAACAAAAUUUGAGAGUUGAACAGCUCUGAGAUAAGUUCCAUAAAUUUUUAUGAAAAUUGGACAUUGAGUAAUGGAGAAGGAUGUGAUUAGCAUUUUCAGUUACAGAAAGGCAUACGGAGCUGGGGAUAUUGAGGUCAGGUAGAAGGAAUAGGGGAAGGUCUAGAAGAAGCCAGGAGGAAAAGAGUUGUCAGACAGGGAGAGGCAGGGAGGUGGAUCCUUACAUCAGCAGGGCAAGAGAAGGACUGUGUGUAUGCUGGAAACAAAUUCACAGGAAAGCAGGCUUCAUGAGUCCACUGGCUUAUGGAUCCUACCAGAACUCUGCAAAACCUAUUUGCUGAAAAGUACGCCAAGAGAAAUCACUCAUGAGCCUCGCCAGCCUGCACGCCUCCCAAGCUGCUCUCCCUCCUGCUGCCUCUGCUCAUGCCAGGUGACAGCCCAGCUCAGGAAGAAGCUUCAUUCUUCCAACCCUUUCUCAGAAGAACUCCUGCCCACACCAGAGAAAACCUGGUUUCAGACCCUGGUAUCCUCAGGGUGGUUGUUCUCCUGUGAGGAACAGCUGGAUGUGACAACGCAGAUGCUGGAAGCUUCCUGAGUGGUGGCCACAGGCCAUCCUGGCAGGAGUCAGGAGUCAACGGAGUCAGCAGAGCUUCACCGGUCUUUGCUCCUUGGGAUCUGACUCUCCAAUGCUAACAUGACUAUUUCCACAUGAGAAUGUGGCCAGGCCAACCCAAGGCGAAAAUACUACUUGGAGCAAAUGAAAACCGACGGGAGAAAUUGCAAUGAAAAAUUUUCAUUCAAGAUUUCUCUUGGGAUCCGUUCCUUUCUAGGGUGGCAACGCACACACACAGCUCCCUUCUCCUUGCAGCUUUGUUUAGCAUCUGUGGGAGCCUCUCAUCGGGAGCUUCAUAUGCGCGCUCAUGAGCACUCGGUGUUUGUGCUCUGUGUGUGCAAGCACCAACCACACGCUGGCGGGCAGCAGGCAUACACAUGUGGUCUAUGUUAAGAAAUGCAAGAAAUAAAGCCAAUUUUAGAUCAAGUGAGCUGUGGUCCCCUGGCUUGGCUUCUACCGCAGGUGAUACUAUAAACAAAGUUCUGUGCCAAUGUGAAAGAACAAAUACACUAUAAAUAGCUCGUGGCUUCCAAACCUCCUCGUCUUGUUCCAGCCCUCGUUCGAACCCAAGCCAGCAGAUGGGCUGAGAGCACUUCAAACUGGCUCCUUGAAAUAAAAUACUGGAAAUAAAGAGGAACAGCAUGGAGGCAGUAAAACAAAAUGGGAAAAGAAGGAGAGGGUGAAAGGCAUUAAUUUAUUGGGGAGAGUGCUGGAAACAUAUAAAAGCAGGAGAGGAAGGAAGAAAGGGGACAUCGUCCUGCCUGAUCACAAUUGUCAUUAACUUGCGGCAGAGGUAUUAAAUUGCAGCAUGGGUGCAAGUUCAUGCAGCCCACCUCCAACCCAAACCUCUUUGGCGUCCGACUCUUCCCUGUGUCGAGUGAUUUAAUGCACUGGCCCACA
rnacentral:lncRNA from 1 species